rnacentral:rRNA from 1 species
GACGAACGCUGGCGGCGUGCCUAAUACAUGCAAGUAGAACGCUGAAGCGAGGAGCUUGCUCUUCUUGGAUGAGUUGCGAACGGGUGAGUAACGCGUAGGUAACCUGCCUUGUAGAGGGGGAUAACUAUUGGAAACGAUAGCUAAUACCGCAUAACAAUGGAUGACACAUGUCAUUUAUUUGAAAGGGGCAAUUGCUCCACUACAUGAUGGACCUGCGUUGUAUUAGCUAGUAGGUGAGGUAAUGGCUCAACUAGGCGACGAUACAUAGCCGACCUGAGAGGGUGAUCGGCCACACUGGGACUGAGACACGGCCCAGACUCCUACGGGAGGCAGCAGUAGGGAAUCUUCGGCAAUGGGGGCAACCCUGACCGAGCAACGCCGCGUGAGUGAAGAAGGUUUUCGGAUCGUAAAGCUCUGUUGUAAGUCAAGAACGGUUGUGGGAGUGGAAAGUUCACACUGUGACGGUAGCUUACCAGAAAGAGACGGCUAACUACGUG